rnacentral:rRNA from 1 species
AUAGGCUAUAGGUGUAAAGGCAGUAAUGUCAUAGCCGAGUAGUACUAAUUACCCGUAGAUUUAUAGCCU